rnacentral:SRP_RNA from 1 species
GCCGGGCGCAGUGGCAUGUGCCUGUAGUCCCAGCUUACUCGGGAGGCUGAGGUGGGAGGAUCGCUUGAGCCCAGGAGUUGUGGGCCGUAGUGUGCUAUACCGAUCAGGUGUCUGCACUAAGUUCGGCAUCAAUUUGGUGACCUCCCGGGAGCGGGGAACCACCAGGUUGCCUAAGGAGGGGUGAACCGGCCCAGGUCAGAAACAGAGCAGGUUAAAACUCCCGUGCUGAUCAGUAGUGGGAUUGCACCUGCGAAUAGCCACUGCACUGCAGCCUGGGCAACACAGUGAGACCCUGCAUCU